GACCUCGAUCACUGCAGAGAGCCACUUCACAGAGGAUGAUAUCUUAUCAGUUGAUCUGCAUUAGAGGAUAAAAAGUCUCACACCUGGAUUACUACAGACAGUCUGCACUGGUGUCCACUUUACACUGAUCAUGGAGAUCAUUAAACCCUUCUGGACCGUCUACAACCUGUUUGACAGGAUGAACAACAAUGAUCAGCAGUGCCCCCACACCCUGGAGAAACUGGUGCUGAUCAUCAAGCUGAAAACAGCAGACCAACUUGAUGUGAAGAUGUGAAUGAAGCUUUGGAGAAACUGAACAGGACUGUGAUAUUAGCUGGUGAGCUAGUGAGAGUUCGACAGCCUGAACAAAAGUCUCACCGACGCCUUUCUGACCCUCUCCGUGGCUCUGCAUGUCCACCAGGAGAGGAUGCUGGAGGAGCAGGAGCUCAGAGCCUUGUCCACAGUUGGGGAGAUUUGACCCGGCCCUCUUUGUUUGAUGGUCAGAACCAGUUCCUUCAGGGCUUUGACUCUCUGGGCGACUCGUUGGCAGCGCUCCUUGUUGGCCUUCGUAUUCUCGACUGCCUGAUAGAUGGUCGAGCAUAUGCUCAAGAUAAGUUCUAUGUUAUCAGCUGAUGAUCAGCUGCAGAGACAGAGAGGCUGUUAGCUCGGCAUGAAAAUGUAAUAAGGGAUCAAGGAUCAAGGAUUUUGUUUUAAUUUUGUUACAGUUCUCACCAGUUCACUGUUGCUGGUUUGAAUCUCAGUCCGGUAAUAUGCUGAUUCUCUAUCUUAUCUCAUAUCUGUCAACCCUCUUCACAGUUUCUCACAGCUGACCCGGAUAAUAACAGAAAAAGCAUUGGAAUAUCCUUCAACCAGUGUCUGAAUCUGUUAUCAACCUGUCCAUCAACUCCGUCUUUGAGCUGCAGAGGUGUGAGAAAGACAAAGAACAUUUUAAUAAAACGCAUUUGUGAAGGUGGCUGUUGUCACAGGGAUAGUGGGCGGAGUUACUGUGACAUGAAAUCUGCAGGUAAAUCAGUUCAGUCAUGAAUACUUUCUGCAUGCUUUAGUUUAUGAGUCAGCACCAUUAAUUGGCUCCACUGCAGUUCUAUUAACUGUUCACAGACUCAUGACCAGCUUAAAGGGGCUGUUUUCACCUUCAGCUUCACCUGUCCACCAUGUUUAUAUUGACACAACCACUACAUACAUCCUCUCGCAGCAUUUGUCUACUAAAAUCAAAACAAUCAAGCAAGAAAUGUUGGUGCAGUUAUGGAAUCUGACCAAAAUUUUAACAGCCAUAUAAAGAAAACUUCAAAAUCAGUUUAUUACCACUUGAAUCAGAGGAUUUAUAUUUAAACAAGAUACAGAAAAACUUGUUUGUCAAAGAAUAGAUUUUUAAAUCCUGUGAAGCGCUAAAUGGUGUCAGGCCUAAACACGUCUCUGAUCCACUUGUACUUUUACAAAGCAUUAAGACCCCUUAGGUCAUGUGGGACAUUUUUAAUGAGUGUUCCCAGAAUCAAAACUAAACAAUGUGAAGCAGCUUUUAGUUCCUCUGCUUCUUGCACACCUUAGGUCUGCUAAACCUGUCGGCCUCGAACUGUCUUUAAAUCAGUUUAACAAUGAAUUACAUGCAUGAUCUCUAUUUAAACUAUUUCUUUAACAUCUUUUAAUGCUAUUUUAAUGUCCUGUCUUUAAUGUAUUUCUACUUUGAACUGCCUUGUGUCUGAAUGGUGCUGUGUAAAUAAACUUGUCUUGCCUUGUACAAAUGUAUAACAUUUAUCUGCCUUUAUAUAAUAUGUGCAUAGGUUUUUAUCCAUUGCAUGAAUCAUCGCAAAGCCAGGAAGGAAAACAAGUUUCACUCGACUUGAGUGUGAACUAUCCUUUUAGAUAUUCACUGAUUAUGGU